AUUGAACGCUGACGGCAGGCCUAACACAUGCAAGUCGAACGAGUGGCGGACGGGUGAGUAAUGUCUGGGAAACUGCCUGUUGGAGGGGGAUAACUACUGGAAACGGUAUCUAAUACCGCAUACCAACCGCUGUGCCCAGAUGGGAUUAGCUAGGAGGUGGGGUAAACGCUCACCUUGGCGACGAACCCUAGCUGGUCUGCGAGGAUUGCCGGCCACACUGGAACUGAGACACGGUCCAGACUCCUACGGGAGGCAGCAGUGGGGAAUAUUGCACAAUGGGCGCAAGCCUGAUGCAGCCAUGCCGCGUGUAUGAAGAAGGCCUUCGGGUUGUAAAGUACUUUCAGCGGGGAGGCGUUACCCGCAGAAGAAGCACCGGCUAACUCCGUGCCAGCCGCCGCGGUAAUAC
rnacentral:rRNA from 1 species